rnacentral:tRNA from 3 species
GGCUCGUUGGUCAAGCGGUUAAGACUCCGCCCUCUCACGGCGGCAUCGGGGGUUCGAUUCCCCCACGAGUCACCA